rnacentral:rRNA from 1 species
UACGUAGGGUCCGAGCGUUGUCCGGAAUUAUUGGGCGUAAAGAGCUCGUAGGCGGUUUGUCGCGUCUGCUGUGAAAUCCCGAGGCUCAACCUCGGGCUUGCAGUGGGUACGGGCAGACUAGAGUGCGGUAGGGGUGACUGGAAUUCCUGGUGUAGCGGUGGAAUGCGCAGAUAUCAGGAGGAACACCGAUGGCGAAGGCAGGUCACUGGGCCGCAACUGACGCUGAGGAGCGAAAGCAUGGGGAGCGAACAGG